rnacentral:misc_RNA from 1 species
UGGUUUUUGACGUUCGAGAAAAUUUCUGGAUUGCGUUUGUAAGAAAGGCUGCGAAAAUUUAUUAAUUAAAAGCAAAAAAGCAAAAACUAAGUGUAUUAACAUUUAAAAAUGUCUGUAAAUACAGCACAUGCCAGUAAUGGCGUUCUGAUUCAUGCAGGAGAGUACAUAUUGCUGCACAGCGAUGGGGUUACUAUGGAUUUCUCGGGCCAGGACAACCCAGUUUUUAAAGGCUCAAAACAGGGUCGUAUUUACUUGACUUCUCAUCGGCUCAUUUUCAACAAUAAGAAGCCGGCAGAUGACUUGCAAUCCUUUAGCGCACCAUUCAUCGCCUUAUCAGAUGUUGAAUUGGAGCAACCAGUAUUCGGCGCCAAUUACAUCAAGGGCAAGGUACGCGCCCAGCCAAAUGGCAAUUUCAUUGGCGAAGUCAAGUUUAAGCUACACUUCAAAUCUGGUGGCGCCAUUGAGUAUGGCCAAGCAUUGCUGCGCGCUGCAAGCACAGCACAAAGCAAUUACCAUCGUGGAGGCGCUUACAAUGAUGAUCCACCACCAUACACACCAUCGGGUGCGUGGCAUGAGGCGCCACCUCCGGCCUAUCAACCCCCACCAGGCUACUACGGAUGGUUGCCUACACAUGAGGCAUUUAGUGGCCCAGCACCGAAUACGGUGUUCGUAAGCGAUAAUCCACCACCAUAUCCAGGCAUUGGUGGACGUAAUACUACGUAUUAUUACUACCCGUACUAUACCCCAACACCUUGUGUUAAUUUUGCGUUUAUACCAAUACCAAUUAUUUUUUCAUAAAUGUUUACUGAAUAAUUGCAUAUCUUAGCCGCAAGCAAGACAAUUUCUUUACUACAAAAAUCUAUGCACAUCUUUAUAAGUAUUCGAAAGAAGCCGAGGCAAUGGCUAGCGCCCAAAAUACAACCUACAACCAAUAUUCUAACAACGCUGCCCCCAGUGACUUGCCACCAGCGU